UACGUAGGGAGCGAGCGUUGUCCGGAUUCAUUGGGCGUAAAGCGCUUUAAGGCGGUUCGGUAAGUCGGGUGUGAAACCUCCAGGCUCAACCUGGAGACGCCACUCGAUACUGCUGUGACUAGAGUUCGGUAGGGGAUCACGGAAUUCCUGGUGUAGCGGUGAAAUGCGCAGAUAUCAGGAGGAACACCGGUGGCGAAGGCGGUGAUCUGGGCCGACACUGACGCUGUAGAGCGAAAGCGUGGGGAGCGAACAGG
rnacentral:rRNA from 1 species